AGAUCCCGCCUCAAGGCGCCCCCCGUCCCGCGGGGUCCAAGGAGUGACGCCGGUUCUGAGCUCGGGCCGGGAGCAGCGGAGGGGAAGCGGAGGGAUGGAGGAUGGAAAUAAAGACAGGGAAAGAAAUGGCCCAGACAUUCCGAAGUUCACACAGACAUCAUCUGCUGGGGACACAGACAAACCAUCGCAGGAGAAGGGGCAGAUUUCUAAAAUGAGCUGAGAAUAUGGGAGGAAGAGAGCCUGUGACCAAGACAUCAAGGCCCUGGCCUGCAAAAAUGUCAGGGCCCACUUGCCCGGUAUUCACACGCAGUCCGAAACAAUCCGCGGGGCAGAGUUCCCUCACGAUAGGACCCACCACCCAGUGAGGAAAGGAACGGCUGCCUGGGGCAGGGCAGGCCAAUGUGGGCGCAGGGAUGGUGUGCUCAGCUGUUGGCUCCCCCUGAAACCCCGAACCAGAUAAAUAUGGGAGGGGGUGAGCUGUGCCAGGAUACCUGGGUCACACGUUCUCAACUGUGAAAGCUCUCAGCUCCCGGAGUGCCUGGGGCUCCGUGGGGCUGGGAAGUUCAGGACGUGGGCUUAAGUUUCCCAGAGCAAGCAGGACAAACAUGGGAGGGGACAGAGAAAUAGGCUUCACACAGUAUGGCAUGAUUGCUUUGAGGCUAAACUUUCCAGAGAGAAGGAACUGAGUUUUUGUUGUGAUUUAGACAUUCUGAUGGCUCGCAAUGGGCUCCCCUGGAGAAAGAAACUUACUGCCCCAAGUUCUCCUUUCUAUUCCCCGUGUGACUGCCACCAGGGGUUUACAGGGAUCCAUCUCCAGCGCCCCCCCUCCCCCUCGCUAGUGCAACAGCAGCCCUCCCUCAGCAAACAUUCACUUCAGCAAACGCACUGACACACUCACAGCUUCAAAAAGCCCAAGUUCAUGUCCUCCUCCUCCUCAUUGUGGGCGGACAGGUUUUUCCUCUUCACCUGUUGCUGGGGAGCACAGCUCUCCGGGGGGCUUGGGGGACGACACUGUACACACGACUUCCUCGCGUGAUGGUGGCAAGGCUGUGUGUUCAAGUCGCUGCCUGGGGACAGUACUGAGGUAGAUCGGGGAAGGCCCCCCAAGCCGUCUGCGGAGUUUGUGGGACUCGUGCUGCUGACAGAGGAGUACCCUGAGGUCGUGAUGUCCUUGCCUGGCCCCCUCCUGCUACACAGAGGGCGCUCGAGCCCUGGGGUCCAAGGUGUCUGGCUGCCUGGUGCCGACGCCUGUGUGUCCUGACGCCCCUCCUCCUCCGGGCAGGCCUCCUCAUCGCUUGAUUCCUGGCAGCAGUGCUGUUCCGGGUUCAGGUAGACCACAGUGACAUCGAGGACACCGCUGGGAGCCGUCACUAUGGGAGAUGGGGGAGAGGUCAGACCAUAGCCUGAGCAUUGGGGUGACCCCGUGCCCAGUCAGGACCCAGGGGAGCCCAGGGUCCAGCUCUUGGCCACACAUCCUGAACCUCGCUGGACAGUCCCCUUUCCUUUACGUAAGAAAUUGGGGGUGAAGUGUCUCCUUUCAAACUUGGGGUAAUACCCAAUGUGACUUAGGGGACAGUAGGAAGUGACAACAAACUGGCCAUCUAAUAAUUUAGUUAAUCCCCUGAGUGGACACAAAAAUAGCAGUUGGAAAAUCAACAGAAGCUAUCGAACUGGGCUUCUUGUGCAGAUGGCUGACGAGACAUGGGUCCAGAGCCUCCUGCAGCCUGCCCUGGACAGGUGCCUGAGGGACAGAGCCCAGCAGAGGGCACAUCUCACACAACCUUCUAGAAAGGUCUAUUCCUCUGUCCCUGACCUGGUGAGGUCCUUCCAUCAGCCCAGGUCCAGCUGGAGCUGGGCGCAGGUUGGGCCCACAUCCUGUCCUCCCUGUGGGCUGGUAUUCUAGGGGCUCUGCUCUCUAAUGUCUACCUGUGUCUGGACACACUCUCCUGCAGCUCAGGCUGGGGGCCCUCCUGCCCGCUGUCUCCUCUGGGGCAGCACCAGGUGGUCUCCGGCCCUGGCACUCACCAUCACCCUCCUUCUCGCCCUCGCUCUCUUGGUCGCCCUCGUAGCCGGAGCAGUAGUCCAGGCUCCAGUCCAGGAAGCUGCCCAACAGUGUCUCCUCCUGGCUGGACAGCUCUGCGGUCGGCGUGGUGACGAAGCUGCCCCUGUCCUCCUGGAGGCUGUUCUCCCGUUUCCUGUGCGGUGGGAGAGCCGGGAGCCGGGUCAUAGGCAGCAGUGUUGGGAGGCCCAGUCUGGUUCUUGGCACCUGCCUGACCCUGCCCCCAUGUGCUGUGAGCAGGGACAACACAGCCACCCAGGAACUGCCCUCAGAAGCCCAGGGCAGAUUCGCAGAAGCAGGGCCAGCAGCACGGCGAGGUUCCUGCUCAUCUGGACUUUGUAGGAUGGAUAGUUCUUUAGGUGGGUGAGGUGGAGGGGGAGGUUAUUCCAGGCAGUACAGCUGGGACAUUGAGAUGGAAGAGACGGGGGUAAAAGGGAUGCACACAAUGAGGGCACAGCUGGAGCGCUGGGAGUGACACAAUGUGGUGGAGCAGAGCAGUCCCGUAUGGCUCACACCGGGCGUGGGGCAGGGCCAGAGCCUGAGCGGGCUCAACCUGUGCUCAAGACCACCUUCCCUCACAGGGAACCAGGCUGGAGCCAGAGAGCCACACUGGGGAAAGGAGACGGUAAUGUAGGCAGUGGAGACUACCAACCGCAGCUUCAGUUUUCUGGGGAUCUGCUCUCUCCCUGCUGCUCCUCAGGAGCCCUAAUGGCUGCACAGGUCACGAGGGAACCCAGGCCUGGCCUGCAGGGCUCACUCACCGCUUGGUUCUCCUUCCAGAGGGAGAGCUGAGGAAGGUGUGAAUGUCUCCUGUGCUGAGGAAAGACGCGGGUUCUGGGCUCUCUUGUUUCACCCCUAGAGCUGCACACAACUGGCCAUAGCUCAGCACCUGAGGGGAAGCCGGGGUCAGAGGGAGGGCCGAGGCCCCGAGGGGCAGGCGAGGACCUCCGCUCCCUAGCACCCACCAGCACCUCUUCCUGGCUGAUCUCUUCGUAUCGCUUGUCCUCAAAUCGCUGCUUCACGGCGGUGAGAGAGACCUGCCUGUAGUCCUUGGGGGCAUCGUCGUGGAAGCUGCCGACAGAGGGACACGUGAGGGGUAGCGAGGGGCAGGCAGUGCUGGCACCUCCACCCCAAAGGCUCCCAUCUUUAGCCUCCACUCACUGAAGUGAGAGGACAAGACAUUUUCAAAACCAGCCCAGCAAUGGGAGUGAAGCCCAGCACUGCUGUGCACAGUCUGGCGGUUCCUCGAGUCACCUGACCCCCAGGUGCAUCCCCAGGAGAAAGGGGAACAGAGAUCCACACAGAAACCUGGACACAUAUAUUCACAGCAUUAUUCGCAACAGCUGGAAGGUAGAAAAACCCCAAACGUCCAUCAGUGCAUGACUGAAUAAACAAGAUGUGGUCCCUACAUCCAGUGGGUUAUUUGUACAGUGGAAACAUUAUGUAGGUGAGAGGCUGGUCACAAAAGGCCCCAUGUUGUACGAGUCCAUGUUGGUGAAACAUCCAGAACAGAAAGAGCCAGGAAAUAGAUGAGUGUUUGCUGGGGGCUGGUGGGGAGGGGAAACAUGAAGGUAAUAGGUAGCGAGGGCGGGGAAGAUGUUCUCAAAUCGAUAGUGGUUUGUGAUGACGGCUGCACAAUUCUGAAUAUACCAAGAGCUUGUUGAAUUGUACACUUUAAAAAAAAGUUUCGUUCGUAAAUAAA